rnacentral:misc_RNA from 1 species
GAUGAAGAACGCAGCGAAAUGCGAUAAGUAAUGUGAAUUGCAGAAUUCAGUGAAUCAUAGAAUCUUUGAACGCACAUUGCGCCCUCUGGUAUUCCGGGGGGCAUGCCUGUUCGAGCGUCAUUAUAACCACUCAAGCUCUCGCUUGGUACUGGAGUUCGCGAUCUCGCGGCUCCUAAAAUCAGUGGCGGUGCCUGUCGGCUCUACGCGUAGUAAUACUCCUCGCGAUUGAGUCCGGUAGGUUUACUUGCCAGCAACCCCCAAUUUUUACAGGUUGACCUCGGAUCAGGUAGGGAUACCCGCUGAACUUAAGCAUAUCAAUAAGCGGAGGA